rnacentral:lncRNA from 1 species
CUUUAUUUCUCUGAUCUGCCUGUUCAUCCUCAGAGUCAGAAAAUACACUUCCUCCUUCCGUAUCCUCAGAACAAGACAGUUUAUGCAGUUGAAUAUCUUCUGAGAGGCAGCAUUCACUUUGCAAGUGAGGCUGUUUCAUCCCAAGUUCUGUUGCACUGGAUAAAGUACGUUCUUUUAGUCCCAAAGGUGGUGAAGGCUUUGUUACCUCUGUUGGCUGCUCAUGUAAUUGUUGUUGCUUGUGGUUUUCUUUCUCCUUUAAUUUCUUCUCCAGUUCCUCAAUUUUCUUUUGUAUUUCUUCCUUUUUCUGUGCUAUGGUCUGUAUCUCCUCUUCAGCUUUCUUUUUUGCUUUCUUUCUGUAGACUUCAGCUCGAAUCUCUUCGAAAGAGAAUUCCUCCACUCCAGCAUAAACUUUGUCUUUACAGUACAUCACCACCUCUUUCUUCUCCUGGGUAUCCUGAUGGUGAUUCUGGACCCGUCGUAGAGGAUCCUCCUCCUUCUCAGGCUUGCGAGCGCUUAAAACGUGGUUUAUGCUGGGUUCAAUCUUGCAGGGAGUCAUGACUUGCUGCUGAGCUGACUCUUCCACGUAGGGGGUGAAACUGGGCAUUGGACAGGGCACUUCUACACCAGAAUUUGCACUGUUGCGAGGACGCCUCCCAGAGUUCCAAGGUCCUGCGCUUAGUUCAUUCUCCUUGCCCCUUGGAGCUGGAGGUUCUGUCCAGUGCUGUGGAGUAAGUAUGGGAAUCUCAGGUCCAGAAGCUGAAGCGGAAUUUUCAUCAAACACAGCAAAACCCAGAUUGUUUGAAAACUGCUGAGGAGUCUGGAAGUUUCUGUUUUGGUUUGUGGCUUUAAGUGCAUCUCCUACACGACUAAUUGGAGCUCUCACUUUUUUCUUUCCCCUGCCUUUUAGAUCUGCCAAUGUGCUCCUCUGAGGUUCUUCAGUUUCCAGAAGACCCGUAUCUUUUUCAUCAGCAGCUUCCUCAAGUCCCAGUAGUGUUUGCCGAGAAACACGGGUCUGAAACUGCCUGUGAUGAGACUGGAGUUUGUCCAAAGGCUCUGCCUUGCGAUUAAGGCCUUCCUGGAAGAUUAUAUCUGCUUUCUUAAAACUUCCUCUAGCCUCAAGUUCUUCUGCCCAUGUAAUAUAGAGUUGUGCCAGCGUUGUACCAAUUUCCUGACUAUGCAGAUAACUGUACAGAUCCAAGGGUUCAUUACAGCAAUUUCCAAAUUUGAGCCAGAGACUAAGAUAGCGGGGAUCUUGGUAGUAUCUCUGCUGCUUGUUGAGUGCUUUCACUGCCCUUUCCAAUACUGCAGAGAGAUUACUCUCCUUUCCACCCUGGGGGAAGGUUUGCUCGGUCCACUUGAU